rnacentral:lncRNA from 1 species
CUUCUGAACGCAAGCCGUCUUCCCUUUAAGAACCUAAGUUUCUACCCUAAUGUUCGUUAUCUGCCGCCACCACAAAAGUUCCCUUUUCGUUUCGCACAGGGCUCUUCGUGCAAAAUCCAAGAGCAAAUCGGUUUCCAGGGACAGAUAAGUAGCCUGGAGGACUCGAACUUGCGCAGGGAGACCCCAGUGGAUUUCUAGUCCAGCGCCUUAAUC